GGGUCUGUAGCUCAGUCUGGUCAGAGCGAGUGGCUCUUAACCACUAGGCCGCGGGUUCGAAUCCCGUCAGACCCA
rnacentral:tRNA from 1 species